UACGGAGGGUGCGAGCGUUGUCCGGAAUCACUGGGCGUAAAGGGCGCGUAGGCGGCGCGGUAAGCGUGCGGUGAAAGCCCGGGGCUCAACCCCGGGUCGGCCGUGCGGACUGCCGGGCUCGAGCACUGUAGAGGCGGGUGGAAUUCCGGGUGGUAGCGGUGGAAUGCGUAGAGAUCCGGAAGAACACCGGUGGCGAAGGCGGCCUGCUGGGUUCGUGGCUGACACUGGAGGCGCGACAGCCGUGGGGGAGCAAACAGG
rnacentral:rRNA from 1 species